rnacentral:rRNA from 1 species
CUCCUACGGGAGGCAGCAGUGAGGAAUUUUCCGCAAUGGGCGCAAGCCUGACGGAGCAACGCCGCGUGCAGGAUGAAGGUCUUCGGAUCGUAAACUGCUUUUACCAGGGACGAGAAUGGACGGUACCUGGCGAAUAAGCCCCGGCUAACUACGUGCCAGCAGCCGCGGUAAUACGUAGGGGGCGAGCGUUAUCCGGAUUUAUUGGGCGUAAAGGGUGUGCAGGCGGUUUGCCAAGUUCGUGGCGACAGCCAUCGGCUUAACCGAUGGAGGACUGCGAAAACUGGCAGACUUGAGAGCGAGAGAGGGACAUGGAACUCCGGGUGGAGCGGUGACAUGCGUAGAGAUCCGGAAGAACACCAACGGCGAAGGCAGUGUCCUGGCUCGUCUCUGACGCUCAAGCACGAAAGCUAGGGGAGCGAACAGGAUUAGAUACCCUGGUAGUCCUAGCUGUAAACGAUGACCACUAGACACGCGGAGAUCGACCCUUUGUGUGUCGCAGCUAACGCGAUAAGUGGUCCGCCUGGGGAGUACGACCGCAAGGUUAAAACUCAAAGGAAUUGACGGGGACCCGCACAAGCAGCGGAGCGUGUGGUUUAAUUCGAUGCAACGCGAAGAACCUUACCAGGGUUUGACAUACAUGUGACAUCCUUCGAAAGAGGGCUCCCUUCGGGGCACAUGAACAGGUGCUGCAUGGCUGUCGUCAGCUCGUGUCGUGAGAUGUUGGGUUCAGUCCCGCAACGAGCGCAACCCCUAUCGGUAGUUACAUUUUCUAUCGAGACCGCCACUCUAGGGUGGAGGAAGGAGGGGAUGACGUCAAGUCAGCACGGCCCUUACAUCCUGGGCCUCACACACGCUACAAUGGCCAGAACAAUAGGCUGCCAACCCGCGAGGGGGAGCCAAUCCCAAUAAAACUGGUCCCAGUUUCAGAUUGCAGGCUGCAACCCGCCUGCAUGAAGAUGGAGUUGCUAGUAACCGUAGGUCAGCAUACUACGGUGAAUACGUUCCCGGGUCUUGUACACACCGCCCGU